rnacentral:lncRNA from 1 species
GGAUUUUGUAACCUUUCCCAUCAAUGAUGAAAACUUAAGGGUUAUGAAACUCUCAUGAGUUAUGGGGUGACUUUUGGGCUUAUGGCUCAUUAUGAGGGCGAGUUAAUAUGUCUCAUAAUGAGAGAGUUAGCGUGUGUCUAGGUUCAUUGUAUUUAGGAGCUUAUAAGUAGUGGGGUUUUGGUUAAGGUCAAGACACACAAGAGAGAGUGUGUGUAUGUGUGGGUUGUAAUCUCUUUUCUAAGUAGUAUAGUACUUAGCUUUUUGAGUGAACUUCUGCCUCUCUCUCUAAGUCAUUUCCUUUGCAUACUUAGUCGUUGGACGCAAAGGUCCGGACUAGCAACAGGAACGAAGACUUGCCCAUCUUCGAGCAGGAAGGCGGGCGCCGCACGGGCUUUGCAAACAGAAACGCUAAGGCCGUGACAGCUUAGGCAGGAAAUCAUGGGACAAGCAUGAUUCAACGGGCUGUAUGACUUACUUUGCAGAGACAUGUAGCAAGUAGUACAUCUUUACAUGCGCUUAAGCGAAUUCGGAGUUACAUAAACACAUGGUUAAUUCUGGAGGAAUAUGUAUUAAUUACUUCAACGCAGAUUCAGAUCUUCGUGGCGUUAGAACUUUUUUAUGGUAAAAUUAAACACGAAAACAAAUACAUGCGUUAAGAGCCUGUUUGGAUACACAGUAAAAUAUCUCCACGGAAUUUAUAAACUGUGGUUUCGGUCUAGAUAAAAUAGAGAAUCCUGCAACUCUAAAAAAUUCCACGGAUUCAAUUUUUAAACUGUUUGGAUACGCAUUGUACAAUUUCACAGGAUUUUUCCAAAUUUUAAGAUUAAAAGUUAAAAUUUAAAAUUUCAAAAAAAAUUUAAAAUUUAAAAUUUGAUAUGUGAAAUGUGAAAUUUUGAAUUUUGAAUUUUAAAUUUGAAAUUUUCAAAUUUUAAAUUAACAAAUUUAAAAUUUAAAAUUUAAAAAUCUAAAUUUAAUUUUUAAAUUUUUAAAUUUUUAAAUUUAAAAUUUUAAAAUAAAAAAUUUAAAAUUUAAAAU